GAUGAACGCUGACAGAAUGCUUAACACAUGCAAGUCAUUGGCGAAGCUGCGCUUGCGCAGUCUAGCCAAGGCGGACGGGUGAGUAACGCGUAAGGAACUUGCCCUGCAGACAGGGAUAACAGACGGAAACGACUGAUAACACCUGGUAUUGUCAGGCUGGCGCAUGCCGGCCUGAUGAAAGGAGACGCUGCAGGAGAGCCUUGCGUCCUAUUAGCUAGUUGGUGGGGUAACGGCCCACCAAGGCGAUGAUAGGUAGCCGGCCCGAGAGGGUGAACGGCCACAAGGGGACUGAGAUACGGCCCUUACUCCUACGGGAGGCAGCAGUGGGGAAUAUUGGACAAUGGGGGCAACCCUGAUCCAGCAAUUCUGUGUGCACGAAGAAGGUUUUCGGAUUGUAAAGUGCUUUCAGCAGGGAAGAAGAAAGUGACGGUACCUGCAGAAGAAGCGACGGCUAAAUACGUG
rnacentral:rRNA from 1 species